CAAGGGCAACUCCCUCAAGGAGAGGAUCAGGCGCGGUCAGGACGAUCUGGUGACCACUACCUCAUCUGUGGGGACCUCAGCAAUGCCCUCAAGUGUUCUUCCCCACCGGGACCACUGCAAGAGCGUCAAGCACGUCAUCAGCAGGUGCCUCAACGUCAUCAUGGCCAGCCUCUACUUGCAGAAUUGGUCUCACGUGCUGAGCUACAUCAGCAAGGCUGAGUCCACUG